CAAAAAAAUAGAGCGCCCCUUUCGGGGCGCUCUAUUCAUGGGAGAGGAGAAACCGGACGAAGAGCUUAUGGGGAACGUAAGUCUUCUCCGCGG
rfam:Paenibacillus sp. Leaf72 contig_3, whole genome shotgun sequence.